rnacentral:rRNA from 1 species
AGUGAACGCUGGCGGUAGGCCUAACACAUGCAAGUCGAACGGCAGCACAGUAAGAGCUUGCUCUUACGGGUGGCGAGUGGCGGACGGGUGAGGAAUACAUCGGAAUCUACUUUUUCGUGGGGGAUAACGUAGGGAAACUUACGCUAAUACCGCAUACGACCUACGGGUGAAAGCAGGGGAUCUUCGGACCUUGCGCGAUUGAAUGAGCCGAUGUCGGAUUAGCUAGUUGGCGGGGUAAAGGCCCACCGAGGCGACGAUCCGUAGCUGGUCUGAGAGGAUGAUCAGCCACACUGGAACUGAGACACGGUCCAGACUCCUACGGGAGGCAGCAGUGGGGAAUAUUGGACAAUGGGCGCAAGCCUGAUCCAGCCAUACCGCGUGGGUGAAGAAGGCCUUCGGGUUGUAAAGCCAUUUUGUUGGGAAAGAAAAGCAGCAGGUUAAUACCCCGCUGUUCUGACGGUACCCAAAGAAUAAGCACCGGCUAACUUCGUG